rnacentral:ribozyme from 1 species
ACAAGCAGACACGAAAAAGGAAAAAGAAAAGAAAAAGAAAAGAAACCCAUCCAACCAAACAUUUGUGGGGGGAGAACAUGUUCGAUAGGGUGUAAACUAUUUUUUUUCCUCUUCCUUCUCUUUUCCUUUAUUUCC